rnacentral:sRNA from 2 species
ACCUAAACGGGAUUGUAGUGGCAGCUCCCGAUUUUCCUUUAAAAAUCGGGACUAUAACGAAAAGCCCGACCAACA